AUAAGAUAUGCUUUGUUCAAAGCCUUGACCGAGUUCAAAUAGAGAAAACAACUGAACCGAACAUCAAAAUCCAACAAAGCAAAGCUACCAAAAGAAUAAUUAUAUAUCUAAACCAUCAUGUUUAUCAAGCUAUCAUGAAGUGUAUGAACAAAAAGUGAAGAAAGAAAAAAACUGAACUUCACUGGAAAACGAACGUUUCCGGUGAGCGUGGAGAAUGGAAUCUGACCUUGGUAAGCACGUUUUUUCCUUUUUUUUUCUUGAGAAUCCUUUCAUGCUUCCUUCGAGCUCUUUCCUUUCUUUUAUGGUGGUUUCUUAUCUGCUAGGAACUAUCACGCUUGUGGAGUGACGUGAUUUAGCUCGAAGCACACUCAGAUUCUGAUGAUGAAUCUGAGUGGUUCAGUCAAGAGAUUUUGGGUGGUGUGGAUCAUGAGCUGGCAGAGGUGAAACGGAUCAUUCAGUUAGAGGAGAAUUUUUCCUCAGAUUUUGUGGGGACCAGAGCGAUUGUGACAUGUGGAGGUUUAGGAAGAAAAAGAACUCUUAGUUUUGCAAGGCUAUGGUAUAUUAUUAUGGAAGUUCAUGCUGCUCUGUUGUGAAGCUCUGAGUUAAAAUAG